rnacentral:lncRNA from 1 species
AUUUGGUGAGGUUGUAAUCUGAAUCUCGUUUCCGCACUAACGAAUGGGCCAAGGCACAACAAUUGGUAUCAGAGCAUCGUUGGACGCUUGGUUCGUUGGAGGUCCAGAUUUGUUGUUCACCAUGGAAUUUUCAGUUGAGCAGUUUAAUGGGAAAGGCAGUUUUACUCUUGGUAAAAGAGAGUAAUGGAAGCCUGAAGAAAUGGAAGC